rnacentral:snRNA from 1 species
CUAAUCUAUCUUUAACUAAUCUAU